UUCUCAUUGACUCUGCCUGUUGGAAAUGACUUCCUGCCUGACAUCAAGCUUCUGGUGUAUGCCGUCUUCUCGGAUGGAGAGGUGGUGGCUGAUGUGGAGCAGUUUGAAGUAGAAAUGUGCUUUAGACAUAAGGUGGCACUGGAAUUCUCACACAAGGAGGAGGUCCCAGGAUCACAAGUCAAACUGAACCUCAAGGCUGCUCCAGGGUCCUUGUGCUCUGUGCGAGCUGUUGACAAGAGCAUCCUCCUGAAGAGGAACGAAACCCUAACAGCAGAGAGCUUGCAUGAGGAAAUCUUCAAGGACAGCUUCAUGGUUGGAGGACGAGGCUUGCCUUACCGCCUGGAAGACUUUGAGGCAUACCCUUGCCUGCCCCAGCAGCCCAGACCCCACAAAAAGGCUAGGAUGGGUGCACCGUGGUACCAAAGUGAGGCUGAUGUCUAUAACCUGUUUAAGGUGGGUGCCUACAGCUC
rnacentral:lncRNA from 1 species